GUCAGCUUUCCCUAAGGCGGCCAUCAAGCGGCCCUGGAUGUGUGUGAGAAAUGGGGAGAAAUGCCACCCCUGCAGCCCAAGCACAUGAGGGAGGCCGUCCGGAGGUUGAAGUCCAAGGGGCAAAUCCCCAACUCAAAGCACAAGAAAAUCACCUUCUUCUAGAUCUAACGGAGACUGUUGCAGGCUCAUCACCGCUGGGCUUCUGUGCUGAGGCGUUGUUGGCGGCGUGCCAGGACGCAUGAUGCUGACUUUAAUGUUUCUGUUCCACCUGCAAGGCAUGCAGUGGGACUCAGACUUCAGUCAGUCACAGACUAUCCUCGGGCAUGGUGAAGACUCUUUGCUAGUUUGAAGAAAUAUACAGGGGCCAUUAGUAUCUUCUGGAGAGGGAGGUGGUUUCAGAGAAAAACAAGAGACUCUAAUGGCUUCACAUUGAAGCCUAAAGUUGCUAAGAUUCAGGUUGUUUCUUGCUCUGGAUUUCGAAACAUAAACUUGCAAUCAUCUGCCGUGUAGUAUUUCAGGUUCUCCUGUGUAUUGUGUGAGGGAUCGGUAAACUUUUCCAACCUGUA
rnacentral:lncRNA from 1 species